rnacentral:tRNA from 2 species
CUCCCUAUAGUUCAACUGGAUAGAACUGCCGCCUCCUAAGCGGCCGAUCGGGGUUCGAGUCCCUGUGGGGAGACCA